UUAUUUUUUUUUUUAAGAGUGGGAAGCAUGAAAGUGGGAGGGGAGAGGAGCAGAAAAAGGAAAUUUCUGGAGCCUUGGAGCUUGCUUUUCCCUCUCCUUCCCCGCUCCCAAGAUGGCUUGAAAAAAGAUCCCAGAAUGACAGAAGCGACUACAAACACCCGGGAAGAGCAGGCACAAGGAGAGGAACGAGCGAGAGAAAAGAGUUUUGCUGACUGCCAGCACUACAGAUUCAGGGACAUCUGUCUUUUCUGCAAUCCAUAA
rnacentral:lncRNA from 1 species